AGUGAACGCUGGCGGUAGGCCUAACACAUGCAAGUCGAACGGCAGCACAGUAAGAGCUUGCUCUUACGGGUGGCGAGUGGCGGACGGGUGAGGAAUACAUCGGAAUCUACUUUUUCGAGGGGGAUAACGUAGGGAAACAUACGCUAAUACCGCAUACGACCUACGGGGGAAAGCAGGGGAUCUUCGGCCCUUGCGCGAUUGAAUGAGCCGAUGUCGGAUUAGCUAGUUGGCGGGGUAAAGGCCCACCAAGGCGACGAUCCGUAGCUGGUCUGAGAGGACGAUCAGCCACACUGGAACUGAGACACGGUCCAGACUCCUACGGGAGGCAGCAGUGGGGAAUUUUGGACAAUGGGCGCAAGCCUGAUCCAGCCAUACCGCGUGGGUGAAGAAGGCCUUCGGGUUGUAAAGUCCUUUUGUUCGGAAAGAAAAGCAGCAGGUUAAUACCCCGCUGUUCUGACGGUACCCAAAGAAUAAGCACCGGCUAACUUCGUG
rnacentral:rRNA from 1 species